rnacentral:rRNA from 1 species
UCAGGGGGUGUAAAUGAUAAAGACCGGGGUACUACGAGCUAGUAUUGCUUAAAACUCAAAGAACUUGGCGGUGCCACUAUCCAGUUAGGGGAGCUUGUCCCAUAAUCGAUGAUCCACGGUGUACCUUACCUUUUGCAAGUAGCGUCUUCAGUUUGUAUACCGUCGUCAUUCAGUUAACUUUGGCAAGAAAAAAUCAGUUGGCAGUGAAGUAUAAAUUUACCUUGUAUGUCAGAUCAAGGUGCAGCUAAUGCAGAGGCGAGGAUGAGCUACAGUUACGAAGUUGUAAUUACGAAUCAUAUAUUGAAAUAUAUAUGUGAAGGAGGACUUAAAAGUAAUAGGAUCAAGAAAAACCCUAUGAAUAGAGUUCAGUGGCGUGUACAUAUCGCCCGUCGCUCUCGUUGAAAAAUGAGAUAAGUCGUAACAUAGUAGGGGUAGUGGAAAUUGUUCCUGGC